AUGGCAAGUAGAGCCAACAUCAGCAGCUUUCUUGCACAUCUUUACGCACAUGAGAGGUGCCAAGGGAAGCAUGACCAAUGUCUGUGGGGCACGGCGUGGAGAAGAGCAGCUGGUGAAGUUCUAUCAGAGGAGCAAGGGCAGGUCGCACGCUGGAUUCGAGCGGGGGCGGCGACAAGUGGGAGGAUCCAACGGAGCUCACCGGAGGUAGACAAGGAGAAGAUGAAGGCAGAGGUCGCGAGGAGGCUCGCCGGAGGGGAGGGGCAGAACGCGGCGAGCAGCGGAGGCGGGUGGUGGAGGCGUGAGCCGGCCGCGGCUGGGUCCACCGGGGCACGUGGGGGUUGCCGGGGCCAGUGGCGCACUUGA
rnacentral:rRNA from 1 species